CUAAGCACUCCUACGGGAGGCAGCAGUGGGGAAUAUUGCACAAUGGGCGCAAGCCUGAUGCAGCCAUGCCGCGUGUAUGAAGAAGGCCUUCGGGUUGUAAAGUACUUUCAGCAGUGAGGAAGGUGGGUAUGUUAAUAGCAUAUUCAUUUGACGUUAGCUGCAGAAGAAGCACCGGCUAACUCCGUGCCAGCAGCCGCGGUAAUACGGAGGGUGCGAGCGUUAAUCGGAAUUACUGGGCGUAAAGCGCAUGCAGGUGGUUUGUUAAGUCAGAUGUGAAAGCCCGGGGCUCAACCUCGGAAUUGCAUUUGAAACUGGCAAACUAGAGUACUGUAGAGGGGGUAGAAUUUCAGGUGUAGCGGUGAAAUGCGUAGAGAUCUGAAGGAAUACCGGUGGCGAAGGCGGCCCCCCUGGACAGAUACUGACACUCAGAUGCGAAAGCGUGGGGAGCAAACAGGAUUAGAUACCCUGGUAG
rnacentral:rRNA from 1 species